AGCGAACGCUGGCGGCAUGCCUAACACAUGCAAGUCGAACGAAGCCUUCGGGCUUAGUGGCGCACGGGUGCGUAACGCGUGGGAAUCUGCCCUUGGGUUCGGAAUAACAGUUAGAAAUGACUGCUAAUACCGAAUGAUGUCUUCGGACCAAAGAUUUAUCGCCCAAGGAUGAGCCCGCGUCGGAUUAGCUAGUUGGUGAGGUAAAGGCUCACCAAGGCGACGAUCCGUAGCUGGUCUGAGAGGAUGAUCAGCCACACUGGGACUGAGACACGGCCCAGACUCCUACGGGAGGCAGCAGUGGGGAAUAUUGGACAAUGGGCGCAAGCCUGAUCCAGCCAUGCCGCGUGUGUGAAGAAGGCCUUCGGGUUGU
rnacentral:rRNA from 1 species